rnacentral:rRNA from 1 species
GGAUCCAAAGCCAUUUCUCAAGUUCAUUGGAAACCUGGGGAUUCGCAUUUUUGGAGUGGCGUGAUGAAAGCCAAGGAAUUGUUUUUCCAAUUUGGGACCUUCUCGGUUAGGGACGGUUCUCAGGUUCGAUUCUGGGAAGACACCUGGCUAGGAAACAACCCUCUAAUGGUGCAAUAUCCAAGCUUGUACAGGAUUGUCAGACAUAAAUUUGUCAAGAUCAAACAAGUUUUUAGGACAACAAAACCCUGA